ACUCCUACGGGAGGCAGCAGUGGGGAAUAUUGCACAAUGGGCGCAAGCCUGAUGCAGCAACGCCGUGUGAGUGAAGAAGGUUUUCGGAUCGUAAAACUCUGUCCUAAGGGAAGAAACAAAUGACGGUACCUUAGGAGGAAGCCCCGGCUAACUACGUGCCAGCAGCCGCGGUAAUACGUAGGGGGCAAGCGUUAUCCGGAAUCACUGGGGCGUAAAGGGUGCGUAGGCGGCUUAGCAAGCCAGGGGUGAAAGGCAUUGGCUCAACCAAUGUAAGCCUUUGGAACUAGUUAAGACUUGAGUGCAGGAGAGGUAAAGUGGAAUUCCUAGUGUAGAGGUGAAAUUCGGUAGAUAUUAGGAGGAACACCAGUAGGCGAAGGCGAACUUACUGGACUGUAACUGACGCUGAUGCACGAAAGACGUGGGUAGCGAACAGGAUUAGAUACCCUGGUAGCGACAGAG
rnacentral:rRNA from 1 species